GAUGAACGCUGGCGGCGUGCCUAACACAUUCAAGUCGAACGGGCAGUAGCGAUACUGUCAGUGGCGGACGGGUGAGUAAUACAUGAGCAACCUGCCUUAAAGAGGGGGAUAACACUGGGAAACCGGUGCUAAUACCGCAUGACGCAUAGAGGGGGCAUCUCCUUUAUGCCAAAGGAGCAAUCCGCUUUAAGAUGGGCUCAUGUCUGAUUAGAUAGUUGGUAGGGUAACGGCCUACCAAGUCUACGAUCAGUAGCCGGACUGAGAGGUCGGACGGCCACAUUGGAACUGAGAUACGGUCCAGACUCCUACGGGAGGCAGCAGUGGGGAAUAUUGGGCAAUGGGCGAAAGACCUGACCCAGCGACGCCGCGUGAGGGAAGAAGGUCUUCGGAUUGUAAACCUCUGUUGACAGGGACGAAGGAAGUGACGGUACCUGUUGAGGAAGCCACGGCUAACUACGUGCCAGCAGCCGCGUAAUCAUACUCGUA
rnacentral:rRNA from 1 species